rnacentral:rRNA from 1 species
ACCGGAUAAUACUUUUCGUUGCAUAACGAGAAGUUGAAAGGCGGCUUUUAGCUGUCACUUACAGAUGGGCCCGCGGCGCANUAGCUAGUUNGUAAGGUAACGGCUUACCAAGGCGACNAUNCGUAGCCNACCUGAGAGGGUGAUCGGCCACACUGGGACUGAAACACGGCCCANACUCCUACGGGAGGCAGCAGUAGGGAAUCUUCCGCAAUGGACCAANGUCUNACNGANCCCCGCCNCGUGAGUGAUGAAGGUUUUCGGAUCGUAAAACUCUUUUGUCAGGGAAGAACAAGUGCCGUUCAAAUAGGGCGGCCCUUGACGGUCCUGACCAGAAAGNCCCCGCAAAUUACCUGCCACCGNCCCCGGNAAUACCUAAGGGGGCAAAGCGUUUUNCCGAAUUNUUUNGGGGCGUNAAAGGGCGNGNGCAAGGGCGGUCCUUUUUAAUUNUUAAAUNUNGAAA